UGCAUCUAGAUUAGACUUUGAUCCUGGCUCAGGACGAACGCUGGCGGCGUGCCUAAUACAUGCAAGUCGAGCGGACAGAUGGGAGCUUGCUCCCUGAUGUUAGCGGCGGACGGGUGAGUAACACGUGGGUAACCUGCCUGUAAGACUGGGAUAACUCCGGGAAACCGGGGCUAAUACCGGAUGCUUGAUUGAACCGCAUGGUUCAAUUAUAAAAGGUGGCUUUUAGCUACCACUUACAGAUGGACCCGCGGCGCAUUAGCUAGUUGGUGAGGUAACGGCUCACCAAGGCAACGAUGCGUAGCCGACCUGAGAGGGUGAUCGGCCACACUGGGACUGAGACACGGCCCAGACUCCUACGGGAGGCAGCAGUAGGGAAUCUUCCGCAAUGGACGAAAGUCUGACGGAGCAACGCCGCGUGAGUGAUGAAGGUUUUCGGAUCGUAAAACUCUGUUGUUAGGGAAGAACAAGUACCGUUCGAAUAGGGCGGUACCUUGACGGUACCUAACCAGAAAGCCACGGCUAACUACGUGCCAGCAGCCGCGGUAAUACGUAGGUGGCAAGCGUUGUCCGGAAUUAUUGGGCGUAAAGCGCGCGCAGGCGGUUUCUUAAGUCUGAUGUGAAAGCCCCCGGCUCAACCGGGGGGGGGUCAUUGGAAACUGGGGAACUUGAGUGCAGAAGAGGAGAGUGGAAUUCCNCNUGUAGCGGUGAAAUGCGU
rnacentral:rRNA from 1 species